CAAUUACAUCAUCAUAAUGAUAUAUGAAUAAACCAUUUACAAGAGAAAAUACAGAACCAUGGGGCAUCAUCCAAGCUUUGUGAUUUGCACUUAUUUUUUCCUCAUAUCAUAUUUUUGCUCCCUUAUUUCUUCAACGGUACUUCUAAUUGGAGGAAAUUUUACAU
rnacentral:ribozyme from 12 species